GCCUCCUCCCCAAUCGACCUCUCUCUCCCGCACAUGUCUCCCUCGUCCGCCGCCGCCGCAAGCCAUCCUUCCCCGCCCUCUCACCUCCUCUCCCACCUCCUUCCACUCCCUCCUGUCAUCUCCUCCUUCCACUCCAACCUCCACUGAGCCGCUGCCAUGGCGACUGAGCUGCCAUUCGUCCCUCUCCCUCCUCGCGCCUGGAACGCUAGCUCGUGGACAUGCCGACCGUACGCGCCGCAGGCAGGGCAAGAACUGCAGCACCCCAACACGUCGACAAGGGAGGUUAGCAAAGAUUGGACGGGGAUGGACGAGCUAGACAUGGAUGGCGUCAACGUGGCCAAGCCCGAGUUCGCGUACCCUACUGGUCGUAUUCUGAAUAAUAGUGCAAGGUACUUUGAGUAAAUGGUCUGCAAAUCAGUGCAUCUGGAGUGCUAGGAUGUGUGGGGACAAAAAGAUGCCAUUGCAUAGGCCCGUUGGCAGAGAAAUCAAAGGUUGGGAAUACCACGCUUUACCAGGCGUUGUCGGCAAUGAUUGAUGAGAUAAUUGGUUUAGCUGCUUUCGGAAGAGGCGACGGGAAUCAUAAAAACCACGAUGGCUAUGGAGAUUCAACAUAUAGAAAGAUGGAAGAGGUUCCCACUCUCUCUCUCUCUCUCUCUCUCUCUCUCUCCCUUCCACUUUCUUUUGAUUUAAUCCCCAGUCUUAUUUAUCUAUGCCUACAUGGUGUGCGGCUGCAAGGAAAUAUUACUCUCUGCAAUAUUAGUGCUCCAUUGCCUACUCAACAGUGUCUUUUUUUUCUUCUGAAAUUUAGCUGCAGUCUUGGAUCACUUACCUGUACAGUACGUUACAUCUCACGGUUAUCUGACUUGCUUAUGCAAUAUAUCUCAUCAUUCAUAUAUAUGUUUAAUUUGUGGAGAAAUAUAUUUGUUGCUAUGUUGUUUGAGAUUUACAUCCUCUGUUCCAUGAGUUAAGAGGAUAUUUUUAGAGGUUUCCGUGUUACUCAUAUAGGUUUGGUAGUUAUAUUUUGGUUAGAACCUUGCUGCUCCUAACCACUGGUUAUGUGUUUUUGGGACAAGGUGCUUUGUACAUUAUGAUUGGUUAUGUAUGUGUCAUGGAUUAAAUGUAUUUAUGCUUCUGCACAAUUUUUAAUCUAUAAUUCGUUUUCCUGCCAACAAGCAUCACAAGUAAUAUCGAGAGCGAGCAGUUGCAGAUGAGAGGGGAGACGAGCGUGGGUGGAGGUCAGGCUUUGUCAAGGGAGACGUGGGUACUUCUGUUAGUUGAGAAGACAUUACAAUUGCGCAACAGUCAGGAAUAAAUGUUAUUCUUCCUCUGAUAUAUUGCAGCAAAUUCAGUUUAUGUGUCCUCCGAUUAUUUCUUCUAUUUUUUGGCCUUGUGCUUUUAGCAGUACAUGGUCCAGUAGUAAUCGGGGACUCAGGGGAAGGGCAGUUCUAUCUUCUAUGUGAGGUUGACUACUUUUGAUUCGCAUGUCCUCCUGAAUCAGCUAUGUAUGAAAGCAGAGGCCCUCCAAAUUAGAUGGUAGUGUUUAGAAUUAAUGAUUUAUCCCAUGUGAAUUGACCUUUUCUCUGUUCUUUCAUCCUUUUUGUUUAGAGUUAAUGAUUUAUCCAGUGCUGCCCAUUGCAUGCUCACCGGACUUUUAAAAAGCUUCAUCUUAGUUUGCUAAAUGUUCUUUCCUACUGAACUAGCUUCAGAACGAUUGGUUGGUUUAUUAGCCAUUUGAUUUUUUUGUUCAUUUCACGUUUGCUACUAACAAAUAUUCAAAAAAAUAGUGUUCCUGUUAACUAAUUUUGGAUCGUAUUUGUUGGAGAUCCUCUGUUCUUGUUCUCUGUGCGCCGGAUCUGUUGCUGCGGCCCUCGAUCUGUUCGUCCACUGCGGUCUGCGGGUGCUCGUGCUUCUGGUCGAUUCGUCCUGCUACGUCGGUCAUCGUUCUGCAGUUAUUUGUGAUUUGAAAGCAACUGAUGACUCAAUAUCAAUCAGUGCACGGAGGGAACUCUUCUCCACCAUGCUGACGACAGGAAAGGGGAAAAUCCAGUCUGCAGUGCCAUCGAUGAACAAGGUGAUGCAAAUCAAUAUCUUGCUUUGUCUAUGCUAUGAAGUGGCCUAAGCGCUAUACCACGGGGAACCAGGAACGGUUACUUUCCUGGUGACCUUAUUAUUCGGUAUGGUGCUUGCAAAUUGAUCUUUUGUUGUGUUUAUUCACUGAAGCUUGUACUGUCAAACAGAGUUGCUAUUGUAUUGAUGCCUUGGAAUGUUGUUAAAUCAAGUAAUGCAGCUGAAUUUGUCUGCUACUCCCCCUGUCCCAAAAUAUAAGAACGUUUUUAACACUACACUAAUGUCAAAAACGUUCUUAUAUUAUGGGACGGAGGGAGUACAUGUUAAUCUUGCUCUUUGAUACUUGUUCACAAUUGUUUACUUGAUGCUUGAUGGCAACUGCUAUUCUUACAAGACUAUCAAUCUGAGAUAUUAUCAUAACUCAGAAAAAUGAGAUGUGCACAUAUGUUUGUAUUUUGAUUUACUAAUGGUUUCCUUCAUGUGAAUGUUUUAUUGCAUUAUCUGAUUUCUAAUCUGUAGUAAAUGUGACACAAGUUUAUCAUUUAUCAUUGUAUGGAGUGAACCGAGGCAGCAACUAGCUGGACGUGGAAGUGUUGUUCCUGAAGGAGAAGUAUGAGGUUGUGCUUGAGAAGAUCUCCAGGCUGGAGGAGAUGGCUUCUCUAUUCAUUUAUUUUCUCCCUGAAGCAUGGGAUGUCGGAUUCAGAGCAACAAGGCGACUAAAGGAUGGGGUUAUCGCAAGGAGGCACACACAUGGAUGAUCGGUGAGGUCGCUAGAGCUUAUGAGGUGGAGUGAGGAACAAGAGCGGAACGGAUUCUGUCACCACGAUGUUGAAAGGGAUGUGCACCACUGUUUUUGUGCCUAUAUUAAAGUAUAUUUGUGUGAUGAGCAGCUACAGCUUGUGUUUGCAAAUUUGUUCCUUUUUAGCUUUAACCAUUUUUUGUGAAGAAAAUAUUUUGUAAACCAGUGCAAACUUUGCCUGAAUUACCAUCCAUUUGGCAAAAUGUUAAAGCAGAUUAGAUCAUUCCUCGCAAUAAGCAUUGGAGUGAAGUUUCAACCCA